AUCCAGGGAAGGACGGACGUUGUUUUGCUGUGCUGUAUUUUAAUGUGAAGUGUACAUAUUUAUUUUUUAUAUUGCAUGCAUUAGUUAUAUUUUUGUGCAGUGUUUUAUUUAGUUUGCAUGUUUUAGUUGCUGGCAAAUUGUCCUGGAGAGACUCCGCCCUUUCCCCCGUUUUUUACUAAUUGGACACACCUGAAGAGGAAAGGAAAGGUAAAUUACAGAGUGCUCAAUGACACAUAAAAGGGUUGGAGCCUGUGUUCACAAAAAGACGGACAGAGGAGAAUGCGAGACAGACAGAGGAAACACACAGACGAUGAGAGAGUAGAGAUGAUCAGAUGGAGCAGAUGACCAGCGACUGGAGAGGAAAAGAGAUGACCAGCGACUGGAAAGAGACACGAUGAGAGAAAAAAAGGCGAUAACGACAAGAGCCGGCUUGUGCACUGCGGGAGAACAGAAGCAGUGAGACAGCGGUGCCGAUUGCAGUUUAAGGAAGCGGCGGGCGGAGUUGAGAGCUCUGCCCACCCGGCAUAUCAAGACGCGAAUGCGGGAAGGAAGGAGAGGACUCCGCUGGGUUUCCCUUUUACUUCGCUGGAUUUCUUAACUCCCUGGGACUUUUAGGUCGUGGCGCAGGCCACUGGACUUUUAAUGUUGUGUUUUAUUGAUUUUUAUUGUGUUACUCCUUGGCCAAGGUUGUUUUAUUUCAUUUUACAUUUUUAACUAUUUGAAUAUAAUAAAUUAUAUUUUUAAUCAUACAGUUUAAAUCGUGUGCUUUCCCUCGGCAGCUCCACUGCUCUGCCCGUUUUGAGGAAGGUUUCCUUCCUUUAAAAAAAAAAAAACACAAAACAUUGUGGAAAUAAAAAUGAGCCUUUCCGCUCCGUUUACAUAAUUGGCGUUGUCGACAGGAUACGGAGCCAGAGCAGUUGGGGUAGCUGGGGGAAUAGCAAAGAUGAUGUAUGUGUAUUCUGGUGCCCCGGUAUGUUUGAAGUUUGAAGGGUUAGGCGAAAGAAGAAGAUGGAGGAUGGAUUGUUGGAGCCAAAGCCAAGGACCCCUGAGCAGAUGAGUAUGAACAGUGUGCACAAGUGUGAGUGUUGGCCACACCAAGAGUGAAUGGAGAACGUCCAACCGAGGUUGUCAUGGGAGACCAGCUGCAGGCUUGCCGGAGGUGGGGUAAUGAUUUGCUGCUAGGCAGCAGUGCUUGGGAUUAAGCACGAGACCCAGGUUAGGCCUGGAAGUAUCCCCACGGGAGCAGCCGGGUGCAGUGUAGGACCUUAUGGCUUCCGGGUAGCUAUGCUACGAGGACGUGAGAGUGAUUGCUCGUUUGUGGCCUUGGACUGAAUGGUGCACUUUUUUUAUAUUUUUGCUUGGGGGGUAGAAGAUGGAACUGGACUCCAAGAAAGCUUCAUGACUGGAAGCUGGGUUUUUACCUCUUACUGACUGUGUGUCACCUCACCAGAGCGUUAUAGAGAGAGCAUUAGCAGGGACUGCUAAUAUUUUAGUGUGGGGGGAUGUCAUCCAGGGAAGGACGGACGUUGUUUUGCUGUGCUGUAUUUUAAUGUGAAGUGUACAUAUUUAUUUUUUAUAUUGCAUGCAUUAGUUAUAUUUUUGUGCAGUGUUUUAUUUAGUUUGCAUGUUUUAGUUGCUGGCAAAUUGUCCUGGAGAGACUCCGCCCUUUCCCCCGUUUUUUACUAAUUGGACACACCUGAAGAGGAAAGGAAAGGUAAAUUACAGAGUGCUCAAUGACACAUAAAAGGGUUGGAGCCUGUGUUCACAAAAAGACGGACAGAGGAGAAUGCGAGACAGACAGAGGAAACACACAGACGAUGAGAGAGUAGAGAUGAUCAGAUGGAGCAGAUGACCAGCGACUGGAGAGGAAAAGAGAUGACCAGCGACUGGAAAGAGACACGAUGAGAGAAAAAAAGGCGAUAACGACAAGAGCCGGCUUGUGCACUGCGGGAGAACAGAAGCAGUGAGACGGCGGUGCCGAUUGCAGUUUAAAGAAGCGGCGGGCGGAGUUGAGAGCUCUGCCCACCCGGCAUAUCAAGACGCGAAUGCGGGAAGGAAGGAGAGGACUCCGCUGGGUUUUCCUUUUACUUCGCUGGAUUUCUUAACUCCCUGGGACUUUUAGGUCGUGGCGCAGGCCACUGGACUUUUAAUGUUGUGUUUUAUUGAUUUUUAUUGUGUUAUCCCUUGGCCAAGGUUGUUUUAAUUCAUUUUACAUUUUUAACUAUUUAAAUAUAAUAAAUUAUAUUUUUAAUCUUACAGUUUAAAUUGUGUGCUUUCCCUUGGCGGCUCCACUGCUCUGCCCGUUUUGAGGAAGGUUUCCUUCCUUUUAAAAA